ACCGGCCCACCGUCGUCGUUGGAACAGGAUGGGGCGAGGCUGCGCGAUUGCUCUCGCGGCGGCGGCGGCGGCGCUGCUGGUGUCGCUGCCUAUGCUGCUGGUGUUGCCGCCGGACGCGGACACGUACGAGCAGGAGAGCCGCCGGAUGUUCGUGGAGUGGAAGGCCAGGUACAAGAAGACCUAUAAAUACGCCGGCGAAGAGGAGUGCCGGUACGCGUUGUUCAAGGAGAGCCGCUGCCGCGUCGCCUGGGCCAGGGCCGACGGGGUGACCACAUCUGGCCUCAACGGUCUCAGCGCCCUCGCCAAUGAGGAGAUCCAGCGCGGGUACAGGGUCCGGAAGGGGGAGAAAUCGUACGAGCAGGAGACUCGACGGUUGUUCGUGGGGUGGAAGGCCAAGUACGGCAAGACCUACAGAGACGUCGGUGAGGAGGAAUGCCGGUACAGGUUGUUCAAGGGCAACCGCCGCGUCGUCGUCCGGCUCAACGCCGGGCAGAACGUGUACGGCAUCAACCAAUUCGGUGACCUCACCAACGAGGAGGUCCGGGAACACUGCUACCCGGAGAUGGUGGACCAAGAGCUGAGCGCCAGGUUUGCCGGUGCAUUGCUACGGAAGCGGAGUCUGGAGGAAGCGCUGUUCCUGGAGAUGAAGCACACAUGUGGAUCUGAACGUCACUUGUGUGUGUUGCUGGAGAAUUUUAGAAUAAAGAUGUUGCUAAUGAAACAUCGCUGUGCUAGGACAUAUGGUAGAAAUCUGAAUAUCAGAGUGGACAUUUUUUUAAAUCCAGCUGAGACGAAUGUUCUGUGUAGUGACUGGAAUGGCUGGAAAGAUCCAAUUAUCUGGUUUGAUGGCGCAACAGAUGCAGUUGGGAUUCAGUUUUUUUUCUGGAGAAUGUUCAUCCUAGAAUGAAGCUGCUGCAUCGGCUCUUUUUGGAUUGCCAGACUCAUUGUAUGCCAGACCGAAUACAUUUGGUGAACUUAUGCGAGCUAUCAUAUCUCCAUCCAGCAAAGUCCAAGAAGCAGUUGACUGGGCUUUGAAGGGUGCGAAUCCAGAUAUUGUUUUGCACACGGCCACACGCGCAUGAUGGCGAAUAGGCCAGUCCGAGCAAGAAAAGCUGCAGUUCUUUGUAUUAAGAGAGCCCUACAGAUUAGGAAUAUCAAGGGUGCACCUCUGGUGGCAUUGGUCUCAGACACACCAGCAUUUGUGAAGGAGAUAAAGUCAGACAUCAGAGAGUUUGCAGAGCUCUGAGGAAAACUGAAGGCCUGAAGCCCACACAGCUUUCAGCCCAUAUACGCACCCGGCUCCUAUUAAGUUACUAACCCAAGCUCGACUCCACCCGUCCACCAUCUAUCAUUCCCCAUUUCCCACUCUGAAAAAGUUGCGGCGGCUGCUUGGCGACGUGCGGCGACGAGCUUGGCGACUGGCGGCGGCGACGCCGUCGGCCAGUACUCCAGGCAGCAGGUCGCCACCGGUGACGAGGGAUGCUGAACCAGAAUGUCCUCCUCAAAUCCAUCUCCUACUCCACC